GGGGUCAGCCAUUAGCUUCUGUGGGCGUGGCUCCAGAGCAGCCUCUGGCUCAGCAGCACUCAGGCUUGGCCCCGGGGGUCCUGCACCUGUCCUGGUUCUUUGUCCAGCAUGAUUGUACAGUGUGACUCCCAUGCGAGUGAUGGGAACACGGCGUUGAACAGGGUAAGCAGUCCAACUGUGGUGGUCUGAAUGUGCUUGGCCCAUAGAAAGUGGUGCUAUUAGGAGCCGUGGCCUUGUUGGAGGAAGUGUGUCCCUGUGGGGGUGGGCUUCGGAGGUCUCUUCCUAUGCUCAGGCUCCACCCCUUGCAGAAGAGAGCUUCCUCCUAGCUGCCUGAGGAUGCCAGGCUCUCCUGGUUGCCUCGAAUCAUGUAGAACUCUCAGUUCCUUCUCCAGCACCAUGUCUGCCUGCAUGCUGCCAGGCUUCCUGCUAGGAUGAUAAUGGACUAAACCCAGAAGUUUAGUAAGCCAGUCCCCAUCAAAUGUUUGCCUUGGUCAUGGAGUCUCUUCACAGCAAUGGAAACCCCAACUAAGACAUCCAUUCUCAAGAUGUCUCUGUCCAUCGAUAAUGACUGACAAUAGUCUACCCAGGGAUCACCAGGGCAGGAACAGAGAAAUUAGAUACCAGCACGGCACCCAGUCCUUAAGGCAUCUGGAAGACGGAGAGAACCAUAGAGAUGAGAAGAUGAGCAAAGGUGUUUGCUACCAAACCGGAUUUCCUGAGUUUGAUCCUUGAAACACACAUGGUGGAAGGAGAAAAAGGUCUCCCACAAGUUGUCCUUUGACCUCUAUACAUGGGGUAUGCCACACAUGUGCACAUACACUGAAUGGAUAGAUGGUGGAUGGAUGGAUGGAUGGAUGGAUGGAUGGAUGGAUGGAUGGAUGGAUGGAUGGUGGAUGGGUGGGUGGGUUGGUGGGUCAAUGGA
rnacentral:lncRNA from 1 species